rnacentral:tRNA from 1 species
GAAGGCCAAGCCGAUGGGUGACGGCAACUGUCUUGAAAACAGUCGAGUGUAAAAGCCUUGGGAGUUCGACUCUCCCGUCUUCCG